AAUCAGAGCAGCCAGCAUCUUCCAAGAACAUUAAAAUGGACAUAUUGCCAUAUGUGGGACAAAAGCCUGGUGAGGAACCUGUUCAGGUGGGUUGGAGGAGCAGCUGACCAGGAACCAGCCGCACGGUACCCACAUGGUUCUUUGGGCUGUAAGGGGAGUGGGUGGGAUCACUGCUCCCAUCGGGUGGAAAUAGGUUUUUUCAAGGGACUACAGUAAAAAGUGACACCUGUGCCCUGUGAAGCCUCAGUGAGAUGAGUGACUCCUUCGGGAUCUGGGGCUUAUGCUUUAGGACUAGACUGGGAUUUCCUGGACCACAUUCUAAGGAGUUUCAGCCAUUUCUGAAAGUUAAUGCAUUUGAUUAGCCAGCGUAGACUUCUAAAAUUUCUAAGUAUGAGAGACACAUACUAAAAUGAAUUGAAGUCCAUUCAAGUUUUUACCCAUAAUCUACUUCCCAAAUAGAGGUUAAUAAACAAAUGUUUAAUAAAAUGAUCACUCAGAACAUUCCUGUAGAGGAAAGACCUUCUGGUAACAUUAGAUCUAGAAGCUGAAAGGAGUUGGGCAUGUGGGUGGAGAAGAGUGAAAUCAGGAAUCUAGAUAGUGAAGUAGGUGCUUUCGCCACAGCGCCACAGAAGUUAGGCAUUAGGCCGCCUCCCAGCAGGAUGAAUGUCCUUGGGGGAGGCGCUCGGUCUAGGCAGGUGGCGGGACUGCGGCCUGACCCUCCUGCCCCACGUCCAGGCCUGUCCUGGAAGCUCGUUCCUCUGUGUGCUGUCCUAGCGCAUCUCACUCUCCAGCCUCGGGUUCUAACGUCUCGUAGCUGUGUUCUGUCUCUUCUCUCCCCAUUCUUCCCUGUUCUUCCCCUCUCACAGGCUGUGCGAAGUUUAACUGUGCGUCUGAGCAGGUGACGUUCAAACCUGGUGGCAGGAGGACCCGAUUUCUGAGUACGCCCUGCUUGGCUCUUUGGAAGAUGGUGAAAAAAGUCUGUCCUUGCAACCAGCUCUGUAUGUGCCCUCCGGCAGAGCCGAAAUCAGGCAGGACACAGACUCCUUUCUUUCUCAUCAAACCGUAGAAAUAGAGUUCCUUCAUCACAGCCCCAAAGCGUCCUCCCCCUCCGCACCCCUGCCUCAGCCGGGCGCGCAUGAGAGUGCUUGCUCUUCUGGGGAGUGGGGGCCGUAGAGGCCUUGAAGCAGCGGAACUGAGGUCAUCUUUGGGAAGCCACGCCUUCCUGGAGCUGAAAAACUCAGGCACACCGUAGAGAGCCUUCCUCCUGAGCGCUCCUGGUUCUUUACGCAAAGGAAAUGGGGAGACGUUGAAGCCUUAACUCUCGCAAGUUUGCGUUUGCAGUUCAUGUUUAUGGGUCCAGGUGAAAAAGGUUUCCGACCAGAGCACGCUUUCUCUUG